GGAUAAUAGCUCAGUUGGUAGAGUGCUUGCCUUGCAAGUGCAGUGCCUUGGGUUCAAUCCCCAGCACCA
rnacentral:tRNA from 1 species